ACGGUAGUCGUCUCCGCGGGCCGUCAC
rnacentral:sRNA from 1 species